rnacentral:misc_RNA from 1 species
GAUGAAGAACGUAGCGAAAUGCGAUAAGUAAUGUGAAUUGCAGAAUUCAGUGAAUCAUCGAAUCUUUGAACGCACAUUGCGCCCGCCAGUAUUCUGGCGGGCAUGCCUGUUCGAGCGUCAUUACAACCCUCAGGCCCCCGGGCCUGGCGUUGGGGAUCGGCGGAAGCCCCCUGCGGGCACAACGCCGUCCCCCAAAUACAGUGGCGCUCCCGCCGCAGCUUCCAUUGCGUAGUAGCUAACACCUCGCAACUGGAGAGCGGCGCGGCCACGCCGUAAAACACCCAACUUCUGAAUGUUGACCUCGAAUCAGGUAGGAAUACCCGCUGAACUUAAGCAUAUCAAUAAGCGGAGGA